rnacentral:rRNA from 1 species
UACACACGGAUAACAUACCGAAAGGUAUGCUAAUACGGGAUAAUAUAUUUGAGAGGCAUCUCUUAAAUAUCAAAGGUGAGCCAGUACAGGAUGGACCCGCGUCUGAUUAGCUAGUUGGUAAGGUAACGGCUUACCAAGGCGACGAUCAGUAGCCGACCUGAGAGGGUGAUCGGCCACAUUGGAACUGAGACACGGUCCAAACUCCUACGGGAGGCAGCAGUGGGGAAUAUUGCACAAUGGGCGAAAGCCUGAUGCAGCAACGCCGCGUGAGUGAUGAAGGCCUUCGGGUCGUAAAACUCUGUCCUCAAGGAAGAUAAUGACGGUACUUGAGGAGGAAGCCCCGGCUAACUACGUGCCAGCAGCCGCGGUAAUACGUAGGGGGCUAGCGUUAUCCGGAUUUACUGGGCGUAAAGGGUGCGUAGGCGGUCUUUCAAGUCAGGAGUGAGAGGCUACGGCUCAACCGUAGUAAGCUCUUGAAACUGGGAGACUUGAGUGCAGGAGAGGAGAGUGGAAUUCCUAGUGUAGCGGUGAAAUGCGUAGAUAUUAGGAGGAACACCAGUUGCGAAGGCGGCUCUCUGGACUGUAACUGACGCUGAGGCACGAAAGCGUGGGGAGCAAACAGGAUUAGAUACCCUGGUAGUCCACGCUGUAAACGAUGA